GAAGUGCGAUAAUUAAUGUGAAUUGCAGAAUUCAGUGAAUCAUCGAGUCUUUGAACGCACAUUGCGCCCCCUGGUAUUCCGGGGGGCAUGCCUGUCCGAGCGUCAUUGCUGCCCUCAAGCACGGCUUGUGUGUUGGGCUUCCGUCCCUGGCAACGGGGACGGGCCCAAAAGGCAGUGGCGGCACCAUGUCUGGUCCUCGAGCGUAUGGGGCUUUGUCACCCGCUCCCGUAGGUCCAGCUGGCAGCUAGCCUCGCAACCAAUCUUUUUAACCAGGUUGACCUCGGAUCAGGUAGGGAUACCCGCUGAACUUAAGC
rnacentral:misc_RNA from 1 species